ACAGAGAUCUCAUAACCCAAAAUAACAGAGAAGACCAUCUAGAAAGUCCAAGAAUGUCAUCAGUCAUAGACUUUAUUUUUGACUGCGCAAUGCGUGCCGAUGAAGGUCUCACCACCAUUGACAACAACAUUCUGACAUUCGUGGAUGUAUUGGAGACGAUAAGGAGAUCUCAUAACCCAAAAUAACAGAGAAGACCAUCUAGACAGUAAGUGACUUUCAAAGCUGC